rnacentral:rRNA from 1 species
GACGAACGCUGGCGGCGUGCUUAACACAUGCAAGUCGAACGAAGUGGCGAACGGGUGAGUAAUACGCGGGUAACCUGCCCUCCUUUUUGGGUUAUGCCUUGGAAACGGGGUCUAAUACUGAAUAACGGGGGAUGGGCUCGCGGCUUAUUAGCUUGUUGGUGGGGUGAUGGCCCACCAAGGCGGUGCCGGGUAGCCGGCAUGCGAGGGUGACCGACGACAGUGUGACUGAGAUACGGCAAAGACUCCUACGGGCGGCAGCAGUGGGGGAUAGUGAACAAUGGGCGAAAGCCUGAUGCCGCGACGCCGCGUGGGGGAUGAAGGUUUUGGGGUUGUAAACCUCUUUCGCGAUAGAACGGGUAGGUGGAGAAGAAGGGCCGGCUAACUACGUGCCAGCAGCCGCGGUAAUAC